rnacentral:rRNA from 1 species
UACGGAGGUGGCAAGCGUUGCUCGGAAUCACUGGGCGUAAAGGGCGCGUAGGCGGGGAGGUAAGUCGGGUGUGAAAUCCCUCGGCCCAACCGAGGAACUGCGCCCGAGACUGCUUCUCUUGAGUCCCGGAGAGGAAGGUGGAAUUCCCGGUGUAGCGGUGAAAUGUGUAGAGAUCGGGAGGAACACCGGUGGCGAAGGCGGCCUUCUGGACGGUGACUGACGCUGAGGCGCGAAGCGUGGGGAGC